AAACCACCGCACCGCGCCGCGCGUGGGAAAAAACAGCAAGGGCGCAACGCACCACGCGAGGGAAAAAAGCAGGGAGAGCAGCGAGGGAAAAAGAAGGGGAAAAGCGAGCGGGCAGCCAGAGACCUAGCCCGCGUCUCCCCGCGCCUCUCCCCGCGACCCUCGUUCCUCCUCCCGCCGCCGCCGCCGCCGCCGCCCACGAUGGACGAAGUGAGAGGAAAGAGCCUCGGGAGACCGCCGCCUCUCCUCACCGGCCUUCUCCCAGGUUCCCGACCUGGAGCCUCUCCUCACCUUCUCCUAGAUAUGGAGCGGGAGGGACGGACGCCGGCGAGGCCAGCCUCCCCUUCACACGGAGGUUGUUGAGAUCAUUGAUCGGUAUGAUCAUGCAUGUGUCCCGCGUAACAUGACUGAUAAUAAGCUUGCGUACAUCCAGAAUGAGGCUAUAUCCAAAGAGUGCACAAGGACUCUCACGGUUACAAAGGAUACGAAGCAGCCAAUUUAUGCCUACUACCAACUUGACAACUUUUAUCAGAAUCAUAGGAGGGUCAGGAUUCUGUACUAGACGUGAUGAGAUAAAAUGAGGUCUGAAUUUUUUAGCCAUGCUUUCUUAGCUCAUGAAGGCAGGAGCAUAUGUGAUUUUUCUGUACCACCUUCCCGCGGCUCUGAGGAUUUUGUCUGCUCGCUGCCUCUCCGCUAUUUAUUUGUUGUGUCUACUGCAUUGUUUGUUCUGCCACCCUUUUCCUCAGUUGCUAGCGGGGGGCCUUGGCUUAUCGUAUUGUUUGUUGCCUUCCUCUCAUAGGUUCGUUGGUAUUGUAAACCAUUUUUGUUGUAGUAAUAACUACAAUGUCAAAUAAAUUUACAUUUCACCUUGCUUCCACUAUUAUUCAAGUUUUUUCCUGCUUAUUAGUCGUACUAGCAAGAUGGUUUUUGUUUUUUUGCCGUGUCUGACAUAGUGUAUUUCUACGAUUUUUCUCUAUUAAAACAUAUCCACUUCCAUGCUCUUUUCUCUAUUUUAGUACACAAUAGUAUGGCUGCAUACUACCAAUUGCAGAAAUUAUUCAUUUGCCACUAAAAUAUAUAUUUUCCUAUUCACAAAUUAAGUAACAACAAAGAUGAAGUUGGUCCCCGGAUGCCUAAUAUGUUCUUUCAUAUCCUGGUCAGUUUACCAGGUAACAGAAUUAAUACUUCUUGUUGGUUCAAUAGUCAAUACCAGUGUUGUGAGAAAAUUCCUUACGGUUGUUGUAUUUUGGUAGCUUCUUCUUUUGCAAGUGGCAAAUUACUGUUAUGUAUAUGUGGAAUCCGAUUAAAUCUGUGCAUUGGUUUCAGUCAUACUUUUCUAAAUGGAGUAUAGUUCAAGACUGUUUUGUUCAUUAAAUCAUUCUUUCUACCUUCCAAUUGUGUCGUUGGCACACCUCAAAUUACUUCUACUUAUACAUGUAUUCAAUGUUUUUCUAUUCUGGGAUUUAUCUAUUUUACGAUCAUUACUAUGUUUUCAUUGACAUGGUAAUAUGAAUAGUCUCCUGUACAUAAGCCCAAGAACAUAACAGACCUAGAACUUUUUUAGGCUUUGUAUUUGUGUUUUAGAAAAAAAAUACAAUCAAGUUUUGGAAUCCAUUUAGUCGUUGAUCAAGUAUGUAUCCUAAGAUCUUUAUCAAUAUUUAGUAGCCUAACAUCUUUCUCAAUGGUGCAUGUGGUUGAGCUAAAAGGGUACUCAAAACGUGUGACUACUUGGCUGUGGUGGAUGUUUUAGCCUUUUCACUAAUUUUCGUGUGCCAAUAAUUUGCCAGAUUAGCUUGUUGGAUUAAUUCAUUUUUUUAUGAGACAUGUACGAAUUUGCAACCUGCAGUAUAAGGAAAACAUAGUAUAUUUUGUCAUCUUUCUCGCAUAGGGAAAUUAUAUUGCUUACUUAUUUUUUGCUUUCUGAAAAUUACGCUUUGGCCUUUGACUGUAUAAAUGACUAUGUCCACUUUUAAUUCGGGUGUCUUGUAGAGGAGAUGGUCAGCAGGGCGAAAAUGUUGUUUACCAUGUGUUUUGAUUGAUUAUAUUCUUCAAGUAUGGAGCGGUUGAAAGCAAAUCACCGUGCCAUAGGAAUGUUGGUCACAGGCUCUCCACUUCGCUUUCCAAGACCAAGGGAACUGCAUCAUUUGCGGUUGUGCCUAAAGAUCCUACCCAAACUGGAAAAACCGCUUUUCCUGGAGAUGUUGUUGACCCUGCAUCCACAACAGAUAGGAGAUGGUCAGCAGGGCGAAAAUGUUGUUUACCAUGUGUUUUGAUUGAUUAUAUUCUUCAAGUAUGGAGCGGUUGAAAGCAAAUCACCGUGCCAUAGGAAUGUUGGUCACAGGCUCUCCACUUCGCUUUCCAAGACCAAGGGAACUGCAUCAUUUGCGGUUGUGCCUAAAGAUCCUACCCAAACUGGAAAAACCGCUUUUCCUGGAGAUGUUGUUGACCCUGCAUCCACAACAGAUGAAACUAAGCAAGAUGCUGCUGCUGCUGCAGCUACCGAAGAUGCGAAGCACACAAAAUUUAGCUUCUUAGACAAAGAAAGUUCAAUCCUACAGUGAUGGAAAAAAUCAGAAUCCCAACAAAAGUGUUGUUCGAUGCUAUGAUGCAGCAGCUAGGCCUCCCAAAUGCAGUGUACUCAACACAAAAGGCAAGAGCAAUUGGUCUUGACGCAACUAUUCACUUCUAUCGCUCCAAGCAUCAACUGGACAAUAGUCUUCCAAGACAAUCAAUAUCAACCCAUGUAUCCAACAAACUAGAAGAUGUUGAAGACCAACUAGCAAACGAAGCUCUCAAGUACAUGAAAAGCAUCCACAGUAAAGUGCUGCAGGACACAAACUACGACAAGAUGCAACUGCUGCAGCAAAGGAGAUCACAUGCCAGCAAAGGAACUUUACCGUAUAAUAGAUAGCAACUUCACGGCCAGAUCAACAUCCAGAGACAAUGAUCUGAAUCAUAUAUUAUCGCAAGUAAGAUAUGUUACUGAUUGUCCCACUGAUACAUCCACGCAAUCAGAGUAUGAACUCCAACAAACAAACAAGUACUACUUGAGCUUGGAUGAUGAUGUUGAAGGAAUUUUUGUUAUGAACAAUGAAAACAUUCAACCACAACCACUAUGAACAAUUGCCUGAACAAGUUUUCAGCUCCAAUGGUCCACCAAGCAUAAUGCAUAUAAGAUGUAUCUCUCUCUAUCUACCUUCCUUCCUAAUAGCAUUGUAAAUAUUCUAUCGUAAGCUUCUUAGAACACUAUGUAUCAUGAAUAAUCCAUGUGUAUCAAUCUGCCCUUAAAUAUAUUUAUGU